AAUACCAACUGAAAGCUCACAACUUUUGUCAUUACUCUCCCGGGUUUUAAACUUUUUCUUCUUUUUUCUUGAGGAACUCAAAUCUUCAAUAGGUUCAGAACUUUCUGAAUUAAUUUUCGUGCUAAUCCCAUCGAUAAGUGAUUGUGGCAAUUCUAGCUUUUGUUCUGAGGAUUCUGAGACUGGAGGCUUUUGAGACAGAUCUACUCCUGGCACAAUAUUUUCCACUAAGGAGCUACCAACUGAAAACUCACCUCUUUUGUCAUUCUCACAACUUUCAUCAUUACUCUCCCGGGUUUCUGACUUUUUCUUCUGUGUCUUUUUCUUCUUUUUUCUUGAGGAACUCAAAUCUUCAACAGGGUCAGAACUUUCCGAAUUGAUUUUUGCAUUAAUUCCUUCCAUAAUGGGUUGUAGCAAUUCUAGCUUUUGCUCUGAGGAUUCUGAGACUGGAGGCUGUUGAGAUGGAUCUACUCCUGGCAUAAUACUUUCCACUAAGGAAAUACCAACAGAAAGCUCACAACCUUUGUCAUUACCCUCCCUGGUUUCAGAAUUCUUCUUCUGAUUCUUUUUCUUCUUUUUUCUUGAGGAACUCAAAUCUUCAAUAGGUUCAGAACUUUCUGAAUUAAUCUUUGCGCUAAUUCCUUCCAUAAGGGGCUGUGGCAAUUCUAGCUUUUGUUUCGAGGAUUCUGAGACUGGAGGUUGUUGAGGUGGAUGUACUCUUGGCAUAAUAUUUUCCACUAAAGAAACACCAACUGAAAGCUCACAACUUUUGUCAUUACCACAACUUUCGUCAUUACUCUCCCGGGUUUCAGACUUCUUCCGAGUCCUUUUCUUCUUUUUUCUUGAGGAACUCAAAUCUUCAAUAGGUUCAGAACUUUCUGAAUUAAUUUUCGUGCUCAUUCCUUCCAUAAGUGGCUGUGGCAAUUCUAGCUUUUGUUUUGAGGAUUCAGAGACUGGAGGUUGUUGAGGCAGAUCUCUUCCUGGCAUAAUAUUUUCCACUAAAGAAAUACCAACUGAAAGCUCACAACUUUUGUCAUUACCACAACUUUCAUCAUUACUCUCCCGGGUUUCAGACUUCUUCUGAGUCUUUUUCUUCUUUUUUCUUGAGGAACUCAAAUCUUGAAUAGGUUCAGAACUUUCUGAAUUAAUUUUCGUGUUCAUUCUUUCCGUAAGUGGCUGUGGCAAUUCUAGCUUUUGUUCCGAG
rnacentral:lncRNA from 1 species